UACGGGGGGGGCAAGCGUUGUUCGGAAUUACUGGGCGUAAAGGGCUCGUAGGUGGCCAACUAAGUCGGACGUGAAAUCCCUCGGCUCAACCGAGGAACUGCACUCGAUACUGGCUGGCUUGAGUCCGGGAGGGGAUGGUGGAAUUCCCAGUGUAGCGGUGAAAUGCGUAGAUAUUGGGAAGAACACCGGUGGCGAAGGCGACCAUCUGGACCGGAACUGACGCUGAGGCGCGAAAGCCAGGGGAGCGAAUGGG
rnacentral:rRNA from 1 species